AAAUGGUUUCCUUUCCAUCACUUUUAUGUUGUAUUUGCUAAACGAUACAUCGUGAUAGCUUCCAUUCAGCACAGGACAGGAUGCCUAGGAAAGCUCCCUCAGCUAAUGUGAACUAGAUCUCAAUCUGGCACACUGAGAGAUCGGUCCUUAUGUCAUUAAGAGGCAGAACAGAAGGGAAAAACAGCUGGAAAUAUCAGUGGAGGGAUUUGAAGACUUGGAGAAGACUGUCAGUCCAGUUCAGGUCCAGUCCCGCACUGGCAGGUUGGAAGGACCAGACAGUGGACAGGAAAAAUCGGGGUGAAGGUGAGAGCUGGAGCCUAUUUCGCACUUUGAGAGGAGGAGAGCCUGACAGCGAGGCUGUGCAGGGAGAGAUUGUCACGGGGUAGGUGGUCAGUAUGGUGUGAAAGUGGGUUAUCAGCCAUGACACAGUAAGGCCAAGGGGAUUUGGGGAGACAGGUGAGAGAGGGGGCAGCCAAGACCUCAUAGAAAGGAUAAAGCAGCAGAGACCAGGUGAAGCUCGGGCUAAUGACUGGUGAUUUGGUGGCUUGCUGCCAGGGCAGGGAUACUGUGAAGGGUUUUAGAUUUUAGUAAGUGGAUGGCAUGCUAAAAUGCCUGUUUCUCAGAAAAGGGGAGGGAGGACGUUAACCGUACUGAGCCUCCUCGUUAUCUCAAAUUCUGGAAAAGCAGGGAUGCUGUUUACUAUUUUCUAAAGAGAAGGACUAAGAGCAGUGGGGAGUUCUCCCAAGUAAUCAAUGGGAAGUCAGUGUGCAAGCUUCUACUGUCACUGCUAGAAUGAAUAGACACCUAAAUAUAACUUUUGGGUUUACCUAUUAAAAAACCAUAUAUCUUUUAGAAAUAUGCAUUAAGAGCGUAACGGAUUCUAACCCCUCACAUUGCUUCACUCUGAAGGGUUAAACCUGCCACAAAUUGGAAUUUCUUCUUAGAAAAAGCAUUUGGGUCAUGAUAUAAAAACAUUCAAGAAUAGAAAGCAUCUCCUGUAACUAUACGGUAAUUUGGUCCUGCCUGUUUUUCUUUUUCCUUCAUGUUUUCCUUGGUCUGAGAUGAAAAACCUGAAAAAUAUCAGUAAAAGUAAGAACAAUAAUAGGAAUUUUGGAAGAGGUGAGUUCACCAGCUGGGAGUGAAAUGCUCCCUGUGGCCAUGGGAGGCCACAGCUUAUAUUUUUGUCUCUCCCAGGUCUGUUCCACUGGGCAGCAAUUACCAAUAGGCUACUUAUUCUUCCUUCAGAACUUCUUUUUUUCAUUUUACAUUGUAAUUUGGUCUUCCAAAACUGUUGCUCUUUCUUCCUUUCUAGGCUUAUUCUUCAUGUCGAUGUACAGAGAACACCCAUAACAAGAGAGAUGCUUUUUCUCCAAGUGAGCAGUUUUUAGCAAUUAGGCCUCCUCUUCCAGAAACUAAAAAGAGAAGAGGCAGUCCAGCAGAUCUUAUUCAUGAAAAAUUCCCCGAGCCCUUCUAGUUAGUGGGAGUUUCACACCAAGAAAGGCCACAAGAUGAGUGAUCCUUAUGCUGGGUCCAGGCAGCACGAUGGAGAACAGUACUUGACUGAAAAACAGAGGGAGCAAAAACCAGAUACAAGCACAGGGAGGGUAGGGUUCUAAUUCUGGACCAGGAGACUGCUACGAAGAGAGGAACUCAACUGCAGCCGAAUGCUUCAGGAAAUGCCUCAUGGACCGGUAGUACUUGGAAUUUCUUUGAAUGGCAAUGUAACGUGUGUGCGAGUCCCUCUCAUGGGUCUCCAAAUCAGUACUUUCUGACUCCUCCUCACCUUCUGAGACCGAACCUGACUCUCUCAGUACCUG